rnacentral:rRNA from 1 species
CCUACGGGUGGCUGCAGUGGGGAAUAUUGGACAAUGGGCGAAAGCCUGAUCCAGCCAUGCCGCGUGUGUGAAGAAGGCCUUCGGGUUGUAAAGCACUUUCAGUGGGGAAGAAAGCCUUGGGGCUAAUACCCUCGAGGAAGGACAUCACCCACAGAAGAAGCACCGGCUAACUCCGUGCCAGCAGCCGCGGUAAUACGGAGGGUGCGAGCGUUAAUCGGAAUUACUGGGCGUAAAGCGCGCGUAGGCGGUCUGAUAAGCCGGUUGUGAAAGCCCCGGGCUCAAACUGGGAACGGCAUCCGGAACUGUCAGGCUAGAGUGCAGGAGAGGAAGGUAGAAUUCCCGGUGUAGCGGUGAAAUGCGUAGAGAUCGGGAGGAAUACCAGUGGCGAAGGCGGACUUCUGGACUGACACUGACGCUGAGGUGCGAAAGCGUGGGUAGCAAACAGGAUUAGAUACCCCUGUAGUC